rnacentral:rRNA from 1 species
GUGGGGGAUAUUGCGCAAUGGGGGCAACCCUGACGCAGCAACGCCGCGUGAAGGAUGAAGGUUUUCGGAUUGUAAACUUCUUUUAUUAAGGACGAAAAAUGACGGUACUUAAUGAAUAAGCUCCGGCUAACUACGUGCCAGCAGCCGCGGUAAUACGUAGGGAGCAAGCGUUGUCCGGAUUUACUGGGUGUAAAGGGUGCGUAGGCGGCUUUGCAAGUCAGAUGUGAAAUCUAUGGGCUCAACCCAUAAACUGCAUUUGAAACUGUAGAGCUUGAGUGAAGUAGAGGCAGGCGGAAUUCCCCGUGUAGCGGUGAAAUGCGUAGAGAUGGGGAGGAACACCAGUGGCGAAGGCGGCCUGCUGGGCUUUAACUGACGCUGAGGCACGAAAGCGUGGGUAGCAAACAGGAUUAGAUACCCUGGUAGUCC